AAAUAUGUACUAAGAAAAUAUUAGUGUCAAUUACUGAGUGCAUAAUUGAUCUUAAAGUCAUUUCUGUUCCUAAAUCAUUUUUUAUGGCAUAUCUUCACCAGAUAAUCCACACUGACUUCCAACUAUUAUGUUAAAAGAAGUCUGGGAGAAACAAAGAGAGUUUGAACCCAGUAGGUACUCAAUUAUCUGUAUGCUGAGUGAAGAAAAAAAAUGAUCUUAUUGAAGAAUUAUAAACCUUUAUGAGGAGGAGACAAAGUUGGUAAAGUGACAAUUUAAAUAUUAUCUUAUAAAUGAUUCAGUGGUUUUUUAUCCACUGAUUUUCUUAUCAGAUCUGUUGGCAGGAUAGAAAAUGCUUUAUUUUUCUUGUCCCAACACUUUUAUUCAAUAUUUGCUCAUGUUCUUUCCAGUGGCAGCACAAUAUAGUCCUUGGAGAUCUGACCAGGAAGCUCUGAGUUCAAAUUCUGAAAAACCUACUGACUGUUUGAUCUCAGGUUGGGAACCACAUUUUAAAGGCUGUAAGGUGUUUUGAAAACACUGUAGCCCAUAAAUCCCAUCGAUUGGCAGCGGAACAAAAUUAUUUUGGCCUGAUCCUAUGGCCCUUCCCCGCUCCCUCAUCCCAGCCUGACUAGAGUCCCUGCCAGAGACCACAGGAGCCAACACUAAGCGGCUUGGAGCUAGGGGAGCGUCUUCUGUCCCUGCCAGGAGUGAGGAAUAACAGCAGCUUUGACCCCACUGAUGUGGGGGGAGAGGGGGAGGAAAGGAGCUGUGUUCCUGCCAUCCUAAAUUGGAAUUCUGAAGGAGCUUAGAAAUACUGUCCCAUGUGGUGGUCAGCCUCGAAAGUAUUGCAAAUAUGAUAUUAAACUUCAGGCAUGACAUGGAUUAAAUAGGUUUUGAUAGGCGAUCCUUAGACUGUAACCACCAUAUGUGUCAUUACUUUAUAUGGGAAAAUGUAUUUCAGAAUUCCAUACAAUUUGCUA